GUAAUGUCUGGGAAACUGCCUGAUGGAGGGGGAUAACUAUUGGAAACGAUAGCUAAGACCGCAUAGGUACGGACACUGCAUGGUGACCGUAUUAAAAGUGCCUCAAAGCACUGGUAGAGGAUGGACUUAUGGCGCAUUAGCUGGUUGGCGGGGUAACGGCCCACCAAGGCGACGAUGCGUAGCCGACCUGAGAGGGUGACCGGCCACACUGGAACUGAGACACGGUCCAGACUCCUACGGGAGGCAGCAUG
rnacentral:rRNA from 1 species